UCUAAUAUGGCAGAUAAGUGCAGUAGAUUUAAGCUCUACAUAUAAAGUAUAAACUUUUAUUAGAA
rnacentral:tRNA from 1 species